UCCCUCGAGCUGGAUUUGAACCAGCGACCUAAGUCCGCUCUGCCAACUGAGCUAUCGAGGG
rnacentral:tRNA from 1 species